AUUUAGCUCAGGCCAGUUGACAUGGAGGACAAGAGGUCCUUGUGUGAACCACCGCCCCUUCCCGCUGAAGUAGCAGGAGGUGAAUCUCAGGAGUCUCUCCGAGAUGUGGAAAGAAUUAGGUCAGAGGUUGAAACACAAGCCAAGACUAUUGAUUCCUGUGCAAAACUCUGUCCAUGCACGAGGCAGAGAGAACCCAGAAUCUCAAUACCAUGGCAGUCCUUCAAUCUGAGGUGCACCAUUUGGCUGCACAUGUUGCCGCCCAGCACUUUGAGGAGCGUUUUGAGGGUCUAGGCUGUGAGGUCUCCACUGAGCUCCACUACCUACGCACUCUCCUGUCCCACUCUCCCUGCUCCUGUCCUACUCUCCAAGCCUCCUGCUCCAGCACUCACCCCUCAGAUAUCCAGAGGCAGGCUGCCAUCAACCACAUCUCUCAGGAACUCUACCACAGGUAGAUCUGGAUAAGGCAGUCUGAAGUGUGGUGUGGUGGGGAUACUUUGGUGAACUACACUUGCAUGAUGAUAAGUAGACUUUAGCUCAGUGGGAUAAUGCAGUAAUAACAUGUAAUUCCCUCUCCAUAUUUUUCUGUGUAUGUUGUCUGUUUCUUCAGUCGUGUGGGAGCAGAUUGCUGAGCUAAGGGAGGAAGUCCACAACUUUCAUGGCCUGCUUAGCAAGUUUGAUUUGAUGUUUUUCAGAACAAGACCCCCUUCCAUGAUGUUGUUCUAAUGGAGGCUUUUUAUAAACCUUACUCAAGUUUUCCUUUCCUUUUUAGAAAAACUAAGAGACGAAACUAUGCGCAGAUUGACAGAGAAAUACUACAAAUAUUAUAAGAGCUCAGAGCUCACAUGUCUCUCCCCCAAAUCACUUUGACCUGAAUGAUUUCACUCAUCAAACAAAUUAUACAAACUUUACACUUGAAACAAUCUUCUGAACUGUACAUGGGUUAUAAUGAUUUGGACUGCUGAAGCUUAUCUCAUGUCAUGUGACAUGUUCUGGAAUAUAUAUCUGGAAUAUGUAUCUAUCUGUCUCAAUUUUCAGUGCUUGGAGAGGAUGAUUGACAGCUAUCAGAUGAAGGACGACAUACUCAAACUGCAGAGGCCUCGGGACAUGCUCAGGUGAAAUUUAAGGUGAAAGUUCUGGGGUGAGGUUAGAGUAGACGAGCAUGGCAAGCAAUCUGACAGACUGCUAUUACUAAUUACUAAUGCAUUAUGAUGAUGCAUCCUUAUAACAAGUGUUCUCCCCUAGGUCAGAUGUUUCUGAGUUACAUAAUAAGCUUCAAACUAUAACAAUAUCGAAAGGCAAGGCUCCCAAUAAAACAGGUAAGAUAUCUGGUAAUGAACUUUCUGUUGAUCUACAAAAGAUAUAGCAUUUGCAUUGAAAUACAAAGUGUAUUCUUCUGUUUGCUGAGAUCAGUUUUUAUUGCUGUGUGCAUGGUCUCUUGCAUCGCAUACUAGGCCGAACUGAACAAAUAGGACAGAGGGUUAUGCCAGCCGAUUCAGAUUCAGGCAAAGUGGAACAUGUGCCAAAGGAAUGACACCAAAGAUCAAACUGGAAAUCAAUGUGUCUGCCAGGUAAAUGAAAGCACACAAAUAACAUUCUUUGCUGUUUCUCAUCUAUUACUGACAACAGUAAUUCAUGUUAUCAUCUAAUUAAUAAGCACACUUAAAUUGAUGUAUAUGUUAUAAGGGUAACCACAUUAGAAGUGAAUUCUUCAUUUUGUCUCUGUUGCUGAAGGAAAUAAAGUUCAUAGCUGGAAUUCUCAAUCUACCUUUUGCCCUACCUUGUCUCACUGCCAAAUAAAAUCAAAUGUGUUCUACACUGACAAUUUUUUCUGUUUGAGCUUUGUG